rnacentral:rRNA from 1 species
CCCUUAGACGUUCUGGGCCGCACGCGCGCUACACUGACCAGUGCAACAAGCAUCCGUCCUUGGCCGACAGGCCCGGGCAAUCUUUGAACGCUGGUCGUGAUGGGGAUAGACUUUUGCAAUUUUUGGUCUUCAACGAGGAAUUCCUAGUAAACGCAAGUCAUCAACUUGCAUUGAUUACGUCCCUGCCCUUUGUACACACCGCCCGUCGCACCUACCGAUUGAAUGGUCCGGUGAAGCCUCCGGAUUGGCGCGCACCUCGGCGCCGCCGAGAAGUUGGCUAAACCUUACCAUUUAGAGGAAGGUGAANUCGUAACA